rnacentral:lncRNA from 1 species
CAGAAAUAAUAGCUUUUGUCUACCAAAGCUGCAGAGUCCUGUUGCCAGGCAACUCAGUCCUGAGGCAACAAAACAGAGAGGAACGGGUGUGUGGGAGGACCAAGCCUGAGUGCAAGAGCUGCUGCUUGUGCUGCUGGUUUCCAAGAUUUUUGAAACAUUUUCUGCCUCUCUUCUGAACAGCUCCUAAGCAUCUGACAUACAAAUACUUUCUCUGGAGCUACAGAAGUCCUUAUAGAUAAGGUAAGCUGUUGCUAUGGCUGGUCUUCCUCAGGUGUCUUUGCUCUGAUCAUCA